GGGUUUAGGAUUGAAGUUGGGAAGAACGGUGCAAUUGGGUUGGGAAAGGGGAAGGUGGGUUUGGUGGUUGAGGUGUUUGAGAUUGUGUCUGACUUGCUCCUUGUCUCAGUUAAAGUUGUUGAUGGUGCCGUUGACUUUGACCUUCUUCAUUGGGAUGAUUGGAGACUUGGCCUUCAAGAUCUUGUUCUCUCAUGGCAUCACAGUGAAUGAAUAGAGUAACUCUUUCAUUUCAUCUUUUUCUUACUUUGUGCAUAUCAUUACCAGCUUUUGUUGUUAAGUUAUUACUCUUAAUAAACUCAUCAUUUUCUUAUCAACCACACACUUCACACCCCUAUGCUUUCACAUCCUUAUGCUUUCUUUGACUUUCCUACUGAAUUUGAGGGGUUAGUGUGUUUGUAUUAGGUUAAAUAGAAUGAAAACCUGUAGAGAAAAUUUAUGAAUAAUAUGAUGAAUUUGAUUAAAAUUGUAUUUUUUAAUUGAUAAAAAUAUAAAUUACAAAUUUGUCUUUAGAUAUAAAAAAAAAGUGUAAAAUGAAUACAAUUUAUUUUGCUGUACAUUUUAUUUGUUUGUAAUUAUAAAAUGUUUUUUUUUUCAAAAAAGUGGACCGAUAGUUAAGGUUAGGGUUUAAGGUAGAAAUAAUAUUAUGAUAACGGAGUUAGGGUUAGGAAUCAUAAUAUAACAUUUAAAAUCUGAAUCGAUUAGCCAUUAAAACCAAACAUAUAGUUGAUUAUGUGAAACAUAUAAUUAAUUAUCCAUGACUUUUAUACAUAAUCGAUCGAUUAAGGGAAACCUCUAAAAUAAAACAUAACAUAACAUGUAAUUAUAAUAAGCACCUCUCUACCGUAUGGGGAUUGUUCUCACCCAUUUCAUUUUUAACUAUCUUUCUUGUUCUUUUCAUAAUCUUCAUUUUAAAAUUAUUAAAACACUAUUAAGAUUGAUCUCAGUGAUAUAUUUUGUCUUUAAUUGUCUCAUUUGAAGAAUAUUUUUUUAUUCUAUACAAAUUUUUACCUAGACUACACCUUUCCUUUAUGGAAUUUGGUUCAAAAAACAAACAAACAAAUUUAUAUAAUUAUGAUUUUUUAAUAUUUAAUAUUAAAAGAAAUUCCUUGACAUUCAAAUCAUGGACAAUAUAAUACUUUCUUUGAUGUGAUUUUUUUAUCAACAAAAGUUAAUUUAUAUUUAAAAUAAAUUUAUAUAGAUUUUUACAAUAAUUCAUCUUUAUUAAUGUCUUGAAAAAAAUUUGUUACAAUUUAUUUUUUAUUUCACCUUUAUUUUAAAACAUUAAAAAUAAGGGUUUUUUUUCUAUUAAAUUUUUUUUAUCUGAAAAAAAGAAAAAGUGAAACAAACUAGUUUCUUCUGGCUACUUUCAUACUUAUUAAAACAUUAAAAAUAUCUUUUAUUUCAUUGAUUUUAUUUAUUUAUUUUGGAAUUUGUGAUUUUAAAAAAUUAUAGAUUAAAAGAUUUUCUUAAUUCAUAAAUUUCUAUCGAAUUCUUUAAUCGAAAAUGUAUUAUAUAGUCUGAAAAGUAUGAGAAUGUUUUUCUUAAAAUUAUUAUACUUUUCAAAUUAUUGUAAAAUCUGAUGAAAAUACUUUUCAAAUUUUAUAAUCCAAUUUGUAAAUUGAAAAAAAUGUUCUAGAUUAUAAAGCCUAAAAAAAUAUUUUCAAUUUUCAUUCUAUAAUCUAAAAUGUAUUUUUUUAGAAUAAAAUUAUCUUUUCAUCCGAAAAAAAUGGUGAAAUUAACUAGAAAUUGCAUGAAGAAACAGCUCAAAUGAUUUAAGACUAGAGUUAACUACUUUCAUAUAUGAAAAACAUAUAUGAAAAAUCAAAUAUAUAUGAAAAAUAAAAUAUACAAAGCCUAACAUAUCACCUUCUAUCUCUAAUAAUCAAUUAGCCAAUGGAUUUUCAUGAAGUUAACACUGAUUUCUCCGUGUGAUCCGAAGACCCUAUCCCAUCUCAUUGGUAACCCUUCUUCCAAUUGCAUGUAUUGUCACAUCAUCUUUUCAACAGAGAAUACCUGGUAAUUAAUGUUGUAACAAGUAGUCAGAAAAAUAAUGUAAAAGAUGUUUAUGAAUUAAAAUUAAGCUCAAUAAACCAAACUACACAAAAAUUUUAAGUGUUCAUUGGUACAGUCACCGACAAACUUGAUAUGACUCGUACUAUUUCAAUUAUUUUGGAUUCAGUUUUUUAUUUUAAUGUUUGAGUUGAAUCCAUUUCAACCCAUUCAAUCCCGUUUAUAUGUGGGUUGAGCCAUGAACCCAACCUCUUGAUAUGACAUUAUUAUUACUAUUUAUAAAAACAAAGCCAUUCAAAAAACGGAACAUUUUUGUUCACUUACACUCAGUCAUUCAAAAUCAGAUUUCUUCGUAUAAACAUUCACACUUGUCCAGUCCCCCAGAGAGUUACGAGCACUCUUAUCGGUCUUUAGUUUUUGUCUGUAUCAACAGAUUUUACUUUGUCUUACAUUGAAUUCAGAUAAAAAAAUUUAUGUUUGAAAUUAUCUAGGCUUCGACUUGAUUGGGUGGACCAAGAAGGAGGGUGUUUAUUACAUCUUUUGAUUCAUUGGAAAAUUUUAGUUUGUUUCUAUCCUAAAGUUGGAUAAUCAUGGUAGAACUCUCUAUUAGUAAACAUACGACAUGAUAUCUAAUUUAUCUUAGCAUCCUAAAUUCCUAGUUAAUAAUUAUUUAUUUUUCAUAAAAUUGUAAAAUAAAUUCAAAUGUUUCGACUUAUUGAUCUAAUCCAACCCAAUCCGUUUUUGAUUGGUUGGUUAGGAGGAUAAACUGCAGAAACUCAAUCCAACCUGACCACACAAUUUUGAUUGGGUUUGAUAAUGUGUUUGGCCAAACCCAAACCAUAAACACAUUUUUAUUUGACAAUGAAUUUAGUAAUGCUACCUUGAAGUUUAAAAUCCAGAUUAAGAGGAUCAAAAUCAGUUCUUGACAGCUUCUUGGAUACGGGGGUACCGAUGAGCCCAUCGAGAGAAGCCUGCACAAUGAGAGUUAGAAAAUGCAACUACCUCAAAAAGCCUUUAGUGCUCUAACAACUAGCAUUGCAGUAAACAUAAUCACCAGAAGAGACAAUCUCCAAAAGAUCCAUAUCCUCUUUAGUAUCCUGCAACAGAUUAUAACAGGUAAUCAGGUGUUAAAAUCAUUGAACAUAAACAUAAAUAGGGCAUAAAUAAUUUUUUUUGCUAAUUCUUACAAAGUUGUUCAAGUACUACAGUGUUUUCUGAAUAAACAAUGCAACUUAGAGAAAUUUACAAUUAGUAAUGAAAGGGAAUUCACAAUGCACCUGCUCUGAUGAAGUCAGACAUCUAGCAAUGAGCACAUAAAGACUGCGAAGAGUGCUAUAGUUGAAAUCAGGUCGAUUCAAGAGAGCCUCUUCUGAUGUAUAUUCAAAUACCAGUGCACAAAUGCUUGAAGCCAUCAUCAUACUUGACAUUUCAUCAGUGUUAUCUACAAACCAUGUUUCAGCAACUAAGUUAAGAUAAGAUGCAUGCUUUACUUCAUACUGUCAAUUCAAUGAAUAAAGUAAUAAACAAAUAAUGGUACUUGUCAGAAAUCACUUGCUUUAAUAGAUACAUACAUGCUACUAAAUUUGCAUUAGAGCAUAUGUCACAUUUUAAGGAUUCAUGAGAAAACACUCAUUUAAUGGUUGCUGACAAGUAUGGUACCUGUCCAAUAAGCUAAUGCUUUAAGAAGACGAACACUAGCUGACUCAUCCAACAUCGUAUGCACUUUGUCUUUCUACAAUAAAAAAGGUGGGGUACUUGUUUAGAAUUUUUGCACAAUCAAUAUAUUAUUAUAAGGCUGGUCAUUAUGAUAAGAAAAUCACCUUCAAUAGUAGGUUCAGUAUUGUAUCACACGCCAAAAAGAUGCAACCAUUAUCCUCAAGAAAAGCAUUUGACCCAACUAAUUUAUUGAAGCAAUCUAAAACCUACAAAUAGACACAAUAUAUUUAGCAACCAGACAAUAAGAAAUUGGUUUGUUACUACUGUUAUCGAAUGAUGUAAAUAUGUAUCUUGUACACACGUGAGUACUCUUAUUUGUAACAAAGUAAUAAGGAACACAAUCAAUAACUAAUAAUGAGCAAUAUUUUCUAAGAUAUUUCUUUAUUUGAUGUAAUCAAAAUAUAUCAUAUUUCCCUAUUUAAUAUAAUUAAAUCAUAUCUAUAACACUUUCCCUCAAGCUAGUGCACAUGUAUCAUGAGUCAAGUUUGUUACAAAUGUCAUCAACACAAGAGUUCUUGAUAGACUAAGUAAAACAUGUCAGUCAAUCAGUUGCUAGAGAGAUAACAAAUCAGAGUGACAAACAUAAUUAAAUAUAAUAGAAAAGGUGACGCAGUGGAAUAGUGACAAAGCACAUAACCAGGGAUCAUACCACUCUGAUAUCAUAUUAAAAGGAUUAUUUGUAACUCUGCAUCUUAUUCGCAUGUGAGUAAGUACUCUUAUUUAUAAGAAAGAAGAAUUACAAUAAUAAGGAACAAAAUCAAUAACUAAUAUUGAAAAAUAUUUUCUAAGAAAUUCCCCUGUGAUGUAAUCAAACCAUACCAUAUUUCCCUGUUUAAUGUAAUUAAACCAUAUCUUUAACAGCAAUAAAUCUGAAAGCCAUGUGUGAGAAUAUGAAGAUGAACUAUAAAUCAAUCAAGCAAUCGUUAGAAUCUUGAUUUACUCAUAAGGAUUCACCUUUAAGUGAAUGCAAUAAUAAACCAAUAUCAAAAAAGAGGAAGGAGAAACAUAAAUUUUAAAUUUAAAAAUACAAGUACUGGAACCAAAAAAUAACUUACAGCCUCAAUUCCUUUGCAUGAAGCCAAAGCUUUGCAUCCCUCGAUCUUCAUAGUAAUUUGAGACAGCAAAGGUAGAAGAAAGCAAACAGAGUAGAAGGGCCUGGAACAUAGAAUUAAAUUAUGCAAAUGCUCCACUAUAAAGGAAUUUUUUUUGCCCAUAAUUAUCUUGAAUAUACCUUUGUUCAUCUUCACCUUCAAUGUAAAGCAUAUACCCUAAAAGAUCUUGAACCUUCUCCUUGCAUGCUAAGGGUGCUUCUGCAAGAUAGCUGAAACAAAAACUAUCCAAAUUAGCACAAGAUUAAGGAACAGGAUGAAAAUUGAUGAAACAACUAUCUAAAUUAGCUUAAGAUGAUCUAUACCAUUAGAAAAUAAAUUAAAUUUGCAUGUUUCUUUCCUAAUACUACACUGCAAGUGUAUGACAGUGAAAGCAUGAAUAAUAUACAGGUUAAGAAGGUCUAUCAUUGUUAAAAAAUUUAUAUGACAACAAAUGCCACACUAAUAUAUGAAAGAUGUCUUCCAGAUAUGAUUUGAAGUAAAUUAUUGUUAAUCUAUCAAGUGUCAAAGUAAAAAUAAUUCAAAAGAAAGCAACAUUAAAACGUCAUACCUCCCAAUAAUUCGCACCGAAGCAAGUAAAUCAUCCCCUUUCUUUUGCCCAUGUUCCUGUAUGAUUUCAUCAUUGUAAUUUGCCAUGUGUUUGUAAACAGGUAAAGAGAAUAGAAGAAAAUCAUACUAUAAUGGGAUGAACUGUAUAUAUUUAAGACUGUAGUACAAAGUAUAUUAAAGAGAAAAACAACUUGUAUAAUGAAAUAGAAUUAAAGAUAAUAAGUCACUGUUUACACAAGUAUUUAUACUACAGCAGACUCGAGAGGAGCUAGUUAUAACUAUUUAACCAAGGCUGUUACAACAGACUAAAAAGGAGAGUUAGUUGUAAGUGUCUAACCAAGGCAGUUACAGCCAACUAAAGAUAUUCUACUAUAGUUACUACUAGGGAAUUAUUUAGUAUAAAGGAGUUAUACACUAACAAAGUACAUGAAUAGGCCACAAUUGACACCAACAAUGACUCUUAACAACGCUAAUAAUUAACAUUACAUUAAGCAAUUAAUCAUUAGUGUUACCUUUGCAUCUUCCAAAUACUCUAGGACAACAGCAAUUGUCUCGUUAAGCUGGAGAAUCACCUUUGUUAAUGUUCCUUCAUCAAGGAGGUUUCCUGUAAAAGAAAUAGUACGAUGAAGAAGCAUUAUACACAAUUAACAGGAACUUAACCACAGAGACAUGUUUCCAACAGUGUCAACACUGGUUUCAAGAAGAGUAUCACAUUACCAAGUAAUCAAAAUCACAAUAGAAAUAAAAUCUGAAUUUCCAAAUCGUAUCCAUAUAGUUUACAAUUGACAAUAGUAGUUAUGGGAGUACAUACAACUAAACCACCAUAAUUAAAAAAACAGAAUUUAAAGGCUGAGUGAAUUGAGUUUCUUUGAAUAUACCACCAUUUUCCUCAACAUUUGAUAUUAAUUUUAUUAUCUUCUCAACCAAAGAGUAAGCAACAGCCACAUUAUGUCGCUUCGAAAAAAUUGCUUCAGAAGUAGCUGAAGUAUCCUGAGGGGCUUCAUAUUUUAAAUAUGCCAACUCAUUCAGAAGAACAGCAAUUUCAACCCUUGACUGCUCCAAGACAAGUAACAGGCACCUAAAAUGGGAAGGGGUGAGAAAAUGAAGCAAGACGCACACAAUGCAGAUGUAUUAAAAAAUUAACAUUAGCAAACACAGCUUACAUGUCAGCUGAAGCUGGAUCUCGUGCAUCAUUUGUGUUUACUUGGCUAACCAACCAAUCUUCUCCAUGCAUGGAAACCAUAGACUCAGCUAAAAUGAGAGCCUGCAACCUUUCAGCAGGAGCUGUACAUGAAUAAUAAAUCAAGCAUUUCAUACAGCUUAGUGUUUUAUUGUCUUAAAAAAACCAUAAUACAGUACAGUAAGGUAAGGACAUCUGAUAGUUCUAUAAAACUUCAGAUUAUCCAUGUGAAAGUGCAAAGAAGAAGUGAAGAAGUGUCCUUUCAUCCACAACCUUUCCUUCAAAUAAACCACCUUAUUAAAACUAACUCUCCAGACUAGGGAACAGGAGUUAGUCCAUAAAGUGUGCAGUUUCUUGCCAUAACAAAGCCUGCUGCUGACUUAAAACCUUUCAAUAUGCAAGAUCAAACAAUGCUGUAACUUGCUGAUGUGGCAAUAAAAAUCAUUAAAAUAAGAAACUGGGGAACCACCCAAUGCAUAUAUGUCCUAGUUGAGUUUUGCAAUAGACAGAUUACUAUCAAUAUAUUUUUUCUCUCUCAGUCUCUCAUAGCUGUUACUCUUAUCCUUGAACACUGGGAAUUAAAAUUUUAAUUCCCCAUUCCAUUGGGUUUUUACUUUCAGAGUUCAUUCCCCCUGGUUACGUUCCAUCUCAUAAUUUUAUCAGCUGAUGGGAAAUUGCUAAAAUUAUAACUUUAAAAAACCUAAUGAAGGAACACAGAAAGAGAAACUGAAAUAACAGGUAAAAUAGCACUGCACAUUAAUAAUUAAGAAAAUUGUCUCAACAUACCAACACGGUUCUGCAGAACAGCCAUUAUACCAGUGCGGAUAUUGUGCGACCAGCUUUCUUGAGGAAGUAACUGUAAGGCCUCACGAAGUUGUGACUGAAAAUGUGAAGUACUUGUAGUCAAUUAAUUGCAAGGUAAAUGAAUAAAGUUGCACAUACAUAAAUCAUUCAAUUAAUAAAAUUGUGGUUAUCCACAAGGCAGGUUGGACAUAUUGGUCUCCUAAGGAGUAUAAAUAAACCAUCAAUCAAAAUAGACCCUUUAUAUGAAAACAUUCUAUAUUAUGAACCAAAUAUUUUAACAAGCAAAUCAACUUGAUUUACACUGCAGAGGGAUGACUAGAAUAUGUAGAACACCAUCUAAUUUCUUAUCUAGGGGUAAUUUGAUAAAAUAUCAAGAAAUAUACAACAACUCUAAAUAUACUAAAUUCCAGUGCCAUAUCAAUUUAAGUAGAUUUUAUCUUCAAGUAUACUAGAAUAUCACUACAUAAAACCAUGACUGAAGGAAAACAGAGUAAGACAAGUUCGCAUACUGAAUCUUUUGAGGUAAGAAUGACAUUUAGCAAGUGGAGAGCUUCGAAUUUCAAGGAAUUGUGCAAAACAGCAAACUGCCUUGCUAUUGCUGCCACCUGUAGAGAGAAGUGUCAAAAACAUUGCUUGACCAAGCACAUUAUAGAUAUUUAUUUAGCAUGUUGCAAGAUAGCUAAUCAAAAGAAAAACAAUUUAAGUAAAAAAUAGAAAUAUUUAAGAAGCACACUUACAAUAACUGGAAAGUCAGAUAAGUCAUUACUCUGGAUUAUGUCCAAGGACAUCCUACCCAGAAUCAAUUGCAGAAGUUUAAAAGAUACUUCCAUCAGAUAUGAACCUGCACAGUGUUUGAGAAUAACGAUGCGUAAACAACAAUUAGGAGCAGACGUUUAUAAUUCCAAUGUUAGUAGAUGUGUAAAUGUGCGCACUAAUAGUGUAGUUACUAUAAAUAAGAAUUACUAAAUGAUAAAAAAUGAAAUCUCUAGAGAGAAAUAUUCCCAGGGACACCAAAGAUAUAACAGUAAACCUUUUUUGGUGAUGGCCAGGGAUCAAGCCGUGAAAGUUGAUACACAAAAAAUGAUAAAGAAUAUUCAUGUUGAGGAUAUCCAGCACUCUGAACCUAUAUCUUGUUGAUAUCAGUUCCAAAGCUCAAACACAGAUAGUUAUACAUAAAUAGUACAUCCUUGUUUACCAAUAGUUACCAUUCCUAACUUUUGUACAUAACGUGUCAGUGAAUUACCCUAAUAUAAAAAAUUAAAAUACACCAACUGAUAGUUUCACUCAGUCCCUUAUUUUCCAGUGUGGUGAAAGCGAGCAUUACCAGCAGACAAUGAAAUCUUACCGUCUUGCAGAACAGUCAUUUGAGAAGCUAGUACCUUGAUGCCUCCAGAUUCACAAAAUCUCGUCAUUUGAGAAGCUAGUACCUUGAUGCCUCCAGAUUCACAAAAUCUCGUGAUUCCAUUUUCAGAAGCAGCAGACACCAAGUACAAAAACUCGUAGCAUUCUUGAAGAAGAGACGAACCAGACCUAAACAAGAGAUUAAAAAAUAAACAAAAAAGGACUCUGAAGAAAAAAUAAGGUGUAUGAAAGCAGGUGCAGAUCAUUACAGGGUGGGUAUUACUUCCAACACAAGUGGAAUAUUAAAAAGCAUGUCGUCCGAAGAAGCUAUAUCUGGAACGCGACAAAAUGCAGCAAGAACAGUGAUGGAUAGGCUUAAAUACGCAUCGCGAUUCUCAUUGAGGGAACUUCCGAGACCUAAUUAAAAAAAAAGAUAGUGUGAAAAAACAUUAGAAAUGAAGAGAGAAGGAGUAGGAAGAAGGAAGUACCAGUUCUGAGAAGGCGAUAGAGAAAGCGAGGGCCAACCGCAUCAUAGACCCUCCGAAGAGAGGAGUGAUCCUGAGCUUUGCAGAAGUUGGUUACGAGAAGAAGUCCUGCAAGACGCUGUUCGUCUCGCUCUCCUUUCAGCAGUUUCAAGCAGUCCUCCAGAUUGGGAUUCUGCUGAGCUUCAGUGGAAUCCUUCUCGCUCAUCUUCUCCUCCGACAUUGGUUCAGCAAUUGUAAUUAGGGAUUCGAACGAUUUUCUCCUAAAUUAAACUGCAAUUACUGUUAUCACAAAUAAUCAGGAAUUGAACUCCACCUACCCUAAACCCAACGAAGAACACGUAGUGGAGAUGGAUGAAGAAGAAACCAGAAAGCACCAGAGAAACCAAAUUGUAAUUAAGUACAAAAGAUAUUAAUCAAUAACUAUUUUAAUUAAUUACGUUAAUAAAUACUUUAUAUUUUAAAAUAGUAAUUAUGCUUUCACAAUUAAAAUGUAUAUGUAAUAAUAAUAAAAUACGAAGAGUAAAAAGAAAAAGAAAAUUUGGCAUUAAUAGAAUGAAGUGAAGGAAAUUUUUUGGCCAUAUAAAAAUUUAGAACAUUGAGCAUAGAAAUAGAAAUUAUUUACUACACAAAAAAUGCAAAUAUUCUAUAUAAAUGGAAAGCAGUUAUAAAUACUAAAAAUAUGAGUAACAAUUAUCCUAAUAUGAGUGACACUCUUGGCUUCUUCCUUGAAAUGAAAAAUUGAAAUAAAAAUGGAUAAUAAAGUUCAAAGUUUUCAAAAGAUAAUUUCCAAUAAAGAAUGAAGAACAUAAGGUAUAUAAAUUCAGAAAAAAUGGAGAGAAAAAAAUGUCCAGUGGAACAUAUUGGACCAACCUUUUGGUUCCUUCAUCGAUAAUUGUAUGUGUAGUGCAUCAUUGAGUCUCCAAAUUAUUUUUUUACUUUAUUUAUUUUAGCUAGAAAUAUGCACAAUACUGAACUGUUAAGUAACAAUAAAUAAAAUAUUUUUUUAAAACUAAAAAAUUCUAAACAUAUCAAACAAAUAAAGAUCUAAAUCUAAAAAAAUUAUAAUUUAAAAAAUGAAUCAAUAGCAAAACCACUUCAUUGUUAUACAUUGUAAUUUCUCUAAGGCUACUCUUUAGACAAGCAUGAUGAUUUUUCUCAUUUAAUUUUUUUCUUUAAAAAGGAUGUAGCACGCAGAAAAAUUCUGUCAACUUCAUCCAGCUUAGGUAAGUGUUGGUCUUUUCCCAUGUAUUUUGAGUUCAGAGAUCGUAGAUGCUCUUCAAAAUCAUUAGUUUCUCCAUCACUUUGCUCUCGAAACUUAUCAAACUCGUCCAAAUAAAGAGGUUUUUCCUCUCUGGUGAAUUUCUCUACAUCCGAAUCUGUCUCAAAUAUAUCUGAUAACUUAUCAGAAUCAGUAUCAAAUUCAGAGUCCAUAUCUGUCUCAUCUUCUGUGCACCCAAUUUUAUCAUUCAUCAACUCUUCAAGUUUAUCUGAAUUCUCUGACUGAAAAUUUAAAAUUCUCUCCCUGUCAAUUUUCUGUAUUGCGUCAGAAGCAUCUAUAUUACUCUCAGCUGUACUUUUAAAUUGCGCUUGAAGAAUUUCGAGCUCUUGUUCUAGUCUUGGAAUAUGUCUCCUCACAGCACGGAGAGCAUCCCUGUAUUUGGAUUUAUCUAAUGCCUGCAGAAGAUGAAAAUUAACACCAUCAAGCUACUGAACAAUUUUUAAAAUAAAAGGAAACAUAAAAUUCUCUAAAACAAAUAGUAGCAUGAACAUGAGUGAUUGUAUGUACACAUCCAAGGUCCGCAAAUGCAAAAUUUCAAACAUAACAGUGGUUGUGCAACUGAAGCGCUGUGCAAUAGAAAUUUCACCAUAAAAUUAUGGACAAUGAAUGAAGACCAAGAACUGUUGGAGAAUUUUGAAACCCCACCCAGUUAAACUCAAUUUCUAUUCUGUAUUAAAAGUGACUAAAAAUUGAAAACACAACACAGUACCUUCUUUCUAGAAAGAGAGACUCGUGGAGACAUAAUCUCUGUUGGUGGUUGAGUGUAGUUUUUCCCUCUGUACAUUAUUAUUGUGUUAUCUUCAUGAAUGUCAAGCACUAUACCUCCUGUCAAUCUUGCCAGCUCAACAGCAAUCUCCUUAACCUCCUCUGCUGAAAAUGUCUUCACCACUACUUUCAAAGUCUGAUGUUUUUUCCAAUGCAGAUGCAUGUUCAAAAUUACACCUUGGUAAAUUCCUCGCCUUCCAACUGGUACAUAAUUUUUGCAUUUAAGGCCCAUCUUUAAGAAGAAAAAAUGCUCUUCUGGUGUCAAUAUCUCAGGAUCAUGGGUUGUUUCUGAGGAUUCAGCAGGCUCAAUCUUUUUUAGGGCUUCACAAAGUCUCUCUUCUUUCUUUCGAGCCUAGAAUGAUGGAGAAAGUUCAAUAACUGAGACAACAAAAUCAAUUGAGUUCUUCCAUUACAGAAUAAAUAGUUUGUACAUAGAAACACUGUGAUCAACCUUCAAUAGAGGACAAAAAAAUGUCUUGCUCUGAUAAACACAUGAUGCUGUACCAAGACAAGAGAGUAAGCAAAGAGAGUAACAUUAUUGUUACCAAGGGCCAUUAACAAAGAGUAAGCAAUGUGACACUAAAGCUAAUAAGGGAAAGAUGAAUGCAAAUCUCCUAUUCAAGGAAUUAAAUGUCUAUUAGUGCCUAGGUUAGGAAGAAUGAGAGUCCAAGUACUAUUUUUAUUGAGUAGGGUAUUAGAAAUUAGUUUUGUUCAUAAUAGAACAAAUUUUUAUCUUUAGUAAAGAAAGGGGUGGUUAGCUAGAGUCAGUUGAAAACUGAGAAAUUGGGAGGAAGAAUACAGGUUCCACAAAUAUCAUAGUAAAGGAGAUAAAUUUAUGUAUAUCUUCUUUAUCUUUUAGAAAUAAAGAUUACAUUUUUACCAGAUUUUUGGUUCAGUACCUAACAAUGCCACUCUAAAAAAUGCAGAUAUCUUCAAACACCAUUUACCAAACACAUUUUUACAAAUUCUAUGCAAAUUGUAAAUGGAAAAAAAAAUACUUUGAAGAAUUAGAUGGCAAGUUGUUAGGUUAUUAUCAAAAUGAAUGCACUAAAAUAAUUCUGUAAAUCAUCUUCAAUGAUUGAAAGAUUUAAUUCAUGUUUAUGUUUAUCUUACUGCAAUUGGGUAUUUAAGAUUCCAAUAUUCAAUUCAGAGAACCAUAAAUUUAUUUUUAUCUUUAUUGACACCAACAAAUAUUACAGUUGAUUUGUUAAGCAACUGUUUUAGCAUACAUUAACACUACCAGCAGCAAUAGAUUUAUUUUUAUCAAGAGCAUCACUAUUUUAUGAAAGUGGGACAAUCCUAGUGUUUCAUGCUAAAAUGUAAACACAAGCCAUGAGUAGUAAGAAAAAUAUUAAUAAGAAAUACAAACAUAUAUAUGGAUAUAGUAAGCACAAGGAGGCAAAGGUGCAAAAACAAAUCAGCAGAACCAUACAUUACAUACUAUUUGAAAACAAUAAAAAAAGGUGGAUAUAAAAGUAAAAAAAUAAAAAAUAAAACUUACCUUCAACAAUUUGUAUAAAAUUUUUUCCUCUGUUGUCAUCCUUUCAUACUCUUUCUUCUUCUUAAAUCUAAAGAACUUCAUCCAUCUUACAACUGCUCUUUUCCCCUUUAAUUUUUUCCUAUUUACUUUGGCAUUGCCAUCAUCCUCAUUACCACUUGGGGCCUUCUCAGAAUCCUGAUACUGUUUCUCUACAACCAUAUCGUUAUACUUCAGAAAUGGACAUGAAUGAAAGCCUAUGUUUCCAAGGAUUGAACAUGCUUUCAUAUAAUAGAGCUGAUAAAAAAUAGGUUCCUGACCAUCAACCUUCCUCGGCAGAUACCUUGGCCGCGGCAACUUCGCCAAAGUGUACCAGCCGCGCUCCCUCGUAGACGCCAUCGACAAUUCCAAGACGGUCGACGCCGCCAUGGAGCCCCGCAUCGUGCGCGAGAUCGACGCCAUGCGCCGCCUCCAGAACCACCCAAACAUCCUCAAAAUCCACGAGGUUCUCGCUACAAAGACCAAAAUCUACCUCGUCGUCGACUGCGCCGGCGCGGCGAGCUCUUCUCCAAGCUCUCCCUGGCGCGGCGCUACUUCUCCCGGGUAGUCUCUGUGCUCCUCUUCUGCCACCGACACGGCAUCGCGCACCGUGACCUCAAGCCGCAGAACCUCCUCCUAGACGCCGCCGGCGACCUUAAGGUUUCCGACUUCGGCCUCUCCGCGAUCCCGGAGCACCUCCGCGAUGACCUCCUCCACACCGCCUGCGGCACGCCGGCCUUCACUGCGCCGGAGAUCCUACGCCGCGUCGGCUACGACGGCUGCAAGGGCGACGCUUGAUUCUGAAGCUCCGAAAUGAGUUUUUUUCCUUCACUGAAUCUUCCAUCAAUAUUUAUAUUAUAGUAUAUUUAUUUUAUGUUUUUAAUUGUUAUAAAAACAAUUCUUAGGUUCUCAGUUUUAAUUAAAAAAAAAUUGGUGAGUUGCUAAUAAUAUUUUUAAUUUUACAAAACUAUAAUCUUUAAGUCGAUUAAUAAAGAUACUAUUAUUUGCUAUAUAAAUGUUUAAUUUAUAAAUGUUUAUUAUUUGCUAUAUUAUUAUAUAUUUAUAUCUUUUAAAUAAUAAAAUAUACUUUUUUUAAUGUUUUAAGUUAGUUUUUUUAUUUAAUUUAAAAAAUUGGACUGAAAAAUAAUAACUAGUGAAAUUAGUUAUGAUAAGGAGUUAAUAUACAGGUAUGAAUCAAAAUACGAAUAUAUCUUUUAAACACGCUCAUAUUUAAAAACUAACUUCUUAAAAAAUAUAUAUUAAUAAAGUAUGUGACAAAAUUGUGAUAUGAUUAUUAAAACCCUUAAAGCAUAAAAUUUAAACAAUAAAAAUUAAUUAAAUAAUUAUAACUUUUUUAAGAAAAUCAAUUAUGAAUAAAAUUGAUAAAUAUUUGAUAUUAGCAACCUAAUAUUUAAAAUUGAAUAUGGACUUUUGCAAUAAGCCCACUCAUUGUGUGCCUAAACCUUAAACCUAGCCUCUUCCCCUUUUUUAAUAUGAGGUACUCAUCACUGUUUCUGAAUUCUGCAUUCAAUUCAACGUUUGUUUUCUGAAUUAUAUAAUUUAAAAUUUAAAAUUAUAUAAUUAAAAAUACAUUUUCAUAUUGUGUAAAAAUAUAUUUCAAAUUAUAGAGUAUAUUUCUAGAUUAAGCAUACGGAUACAUAUUCUAGAUCGACCAAAACAUAUUUUUUAAAUUAUAAAUUAUAUAAUCAGAAUAGAUUUUAAAUUAAACCAUCCAAAAUGCUUCUCACAUAUACAGUUUGAACUUUUUUCAUACCUAUGAAGGGCUGAAAGAAAAUGUAAGGUGCUAAAAAAACAUUAGCAGACAUAAAACAGUCCUCCUUGAUUCAUACAAAAUCUGAAACAAAAUUAUCCGUAAAUAAAUAAUCGAUGGGAAAUUCUAUUAAAUUAAAGUAUUCUGUGUGCUUUUCAUAACAUUACCUUGAGUGAAUUAUUCUUUUUAUUAAAAAGAGGUAGAAAUACAGUGUCUUGUACAUUCUCUGAAAAUGCAGCUCAUUUGCAAUACUUGUUGAACCAGAUCGCAAUGUUAAGGUAGCUUUCAAAGUCGGAUUGUGGUCUGGACAAAAGUUGAACCAAACAAUAUUAUCAAUUGCAAUUAUUUACACGGAUCAAACGUAGAUUUAAACUAAACUAAAUUUAGUAAUUUGUAAGAACUCUCUUAUGAACUUCUCCAAAAUUAGAUAGUUACCGACGAAAGAGAGAUGUAAGUUUAUGUUAAGAUUUGUUUACCUUUCAAUUCCAUGAACAUCAUUUGGAAACACGAUGACUUUUGUUGGUACUCCUUUCUCCCUUAAAGCCCGAGCAUACUACAAAUUUAAACAAUAUGGUUUUAUUUAUCUGUCAUAUUGGUUAUGGUUUAUAAGGCUAAGAGUUUGCAGCUAUAUAAUAAUACUUACUUGUAGUCCAGUUGAAAUUGGAACACGGAGAUCUUGGGCACCCAGUAGAAAAAGCGUUGGUGUUUUUGCCUGAACAUAUCAUCAAUGCAAGAUUUUAACAGCAAGCAGCGACAAAUAUUAUAAAUAGGCUUCAAUUUUAGUUGUGUGGUGGAGCAUUAACAUUGAGACCAGUUCACUGGAUAGUACAAUACAACUUCAUCAUGCAAUUCAAAGGAAUAAGAGGGAAAAAAAUUAAAUAAAAUCAAAAUUCUAGGCAACAAAAGUUUCAUUAAUCAUGAAAAAUUAAAAUAGUUAAUGCAUUUGUUCAAAAAUUAAGCCUCAACUAUUCCUUGAUCCUAAAACUGCAGGCUUGUUAUUGAUACAAAUGCUCAUGCAAUUGUUGUUUUCUAAUCCUUUAUUUGAAGCAUGCUUAAAAUAUUGAGUAAUAAUAUAACAACAAUUUAAUAUUUCAAAACCAUAUGUAGGUGUACAGACCUUUGAGAGGUGUGAAAUAGGAGAUUUGCUAUAAAAUAGAGUUAGAUCCUCUGCUGAAGGUGCUUCAGUAAACUUAUCUUUACCCUUGGUUCCAUAUGUCUCCACAUAGCACCAAUCAGGGAUAUCAGUAGUACCAACCAUCAGUGCAAGGUUACACACAGGAUUUCUAGCAGCGGCUGCAACAAAUUUCUCAGGUGCCUACAGCAAUCAGAAAGACAUAAAAAACAAAACCACAACGGAAUUGUAAAACUUUAAAAAAAACAAAGUCAGACCACUAUUAAAAUGGAUAUUAGUUUUGCAAACUGAGUUAAAUGCCAACAUUUAUACAUACACCUUUCUAUAUAAUAUUCGAAGUGCUUUUUUUAUAUUAUCCAAUUAUGUGUACAUUAUAAAAAUUAUUUGCUAAGUUAUUUUCUGCCAUUGAUAAGUUAUUUCUAAUCCAAUUAUGUUCCAUUCUGUUAAUAUAGUACAGUUGAUGUAUUGUUCAGCAAACAUUUCAAAACCACAUAUCCCGGAUUUGUUGAAAAUGUUCAAGAAAUUCUGGACAUCAAUAGAUGUCAGGGUUCAAAUGGCCUUAUUUCCCAUGUGCAUCUAUAUAAUCACAACUGUUAGACAUGGUUUGAUUAUGUUAGAGAUAUGAUUUGAUAAUAUUAUAUAGGGAGGUAUCAUGAUUUGAUAGGAAAAUGUUAUCAAAUACUUUUUAUAAUUAGAUAUUGAUUUUGCUCCUAAUUAAGAUAAAAGAGAGUGAGAGAGGCAUAGGCUGAAUCCCUUAUGUGUAUUAAGCACAUAGGGUUAUGCAUUUAUAAAUAAGAAAAUACAAAGAUAUGAGCCUAAGCCCAUUACAUCUAACACUCAUUAUUUAUUGUAUCUCUUUUUUAUUAUAAAUAAGAACAAUCAUAAAUAAGAAGAAUCGUGUGUUUAAACAGCAUACAAUAUGGUUUGAUAACAAUAAAUUGGGAGAUAUGAUAUAAUUUAUUAGGAAAUGUCUUACCUAAUAUAUCUCAUUAUUAGAUAUUGAAUUUGUUCUUUAUUAUUGUAUCUCUUCUUCAUUAUAAAUAAGAAUACUCAUGUGUGUACACAACACACGAAACUCAUAGCAUACCUUCUGAGUUUCUCUCCUCUCAAUAUGGUGUUACCUAUUUUGUCACCAAUCCUUUCAACAACAACUAUUAUGCUGAAGUUGUUGUAAUAAUGUCAAUCAAUGCUAAAAUAGAUAAGCAUCCCAAGUACCAUAAAUUAAUUGACUGUUCAAUCUCCAGCAUAAAUAAAUUUGUGCUAUAUCCUUUUUAAAGUUAAUAUAAAUCCAUGGUUCAAUUAUCACAAUAGCUGUUACAAUCAGAAUUUAAAAGUAACAGAACUAGUUGAACCUGGCCAAUCAAGUGGGUUGUCAGAAAGCCACCAUGUGAGCCACCAAGAACUGCAAUCUUUGAAGGACUGGCGAGUCCCAAGUCAAUGACAUGAUCAAUAGCAGUGAGCACAUCGUUGACAUCCUGCAUGUAACAAAUCAUGAUCAGAUCCAACAACAUGAAAAAAGAAAUAUAGCCAGAAUAUGAUAAUAGCUUUGGAAGUUGGAACUAGCUUUUGAAGGUGAGAUGUUGGAUAGAUAACACCACUAUCAAGAGAAGAAUUUAGAAAUUAAAAGAAAAAACCACCACAUACCUGAGAGCCAGCUUUUCCUGGAAGAGAUUGCAAGGCUUCCUCGCCAAAGCCUAUUGAGCCUCUGAAAAUAUUAUCGUGUAAGCUUAGAACAGACUAUAUUUAAACACAUCUUCAUCUAUAACUAUUUGGAUAUCAAAAGAGGCCUUAUGAGCUGUGAGAUGAUACAGGCUAUCACAUAAAAGUUCCACCAAUAUUAUUCCGUUUUACAUUAAAACACUUAGAAUAUAUGAUACAACAAACUUAUUGUUAAAAUAUUGGGGUUAAUGUUAAUGCUAGACUUAUUCUAAGCAAAAUUGGGCUUACACAAGUACCAAACCACAAAAUUAGUAUAAAUAGGAGAAAUAGCAUAGGAUACUAAAUAAUACCAUCAAUUAUUAAUCAUUUCUAUCUAUUAUUUAUUUUAUCCACUCAAACUUACCAAACCACAAAAUUAGCAUAAAUAGGAGAAAAAUGAUAGGAUAAAUAAUAUCAUUAUUCAUUAACCUAAUCCUAUUAUUUAUCAUUUCCAUCAAUUAUCUAUUUUAUCUACUAAACCUAUAAUAUAACACUAUAAACAUAUUAUUGAGGAGGAUAUGAUGCUAAACAGGUUUAUGCUAUAAUAAGUUAUCUAUUGCACAUAAAAUUAAAUGUUGAAUAUAUUACAACCUUGGGGAAGGCUUGAAUUAUUCUGUGCAUUCUAUAAGUAAAAGAUACAUACCAGAGAACUUUCGUGCCUUGAAAUGAGAUUUUUAAUAGAGAUUAGAAGUUUAUAUUAUAAACUAACAGUUCACUUGAAACUAGAAUGAUUUGAAUGGAAGAUAUUGGAGUAAUUUUAUUUAUAAUCUUGUGGGCAGAUGGCUUUUCCACACAAACCAGAAAUUUGGCAGCUUUGAAUUUCUAAAGUCCUACAAGAAUCAUCCAGAUAUGAAUUUAUAUGCUUGUUCAAAAUAUUAGGCUAUUUUUUCAUAAGGAGAAAAAGAGAGAAUCAGAUAAAAUAGUUAAGGAUUUUUCUGACGCGUGAAAAGUGUAAGCCUCCUUAACCGAAGUAUUUUGUCAAGGAUCCUAGAUCUCUCUUGCCUCUUUUUGUCAAUUUCAUUCUGCAUUUAUUUUCUCUCAUUCUAUGUAUUCCUUGUUAUUCCAAAUAAUUACUAUGUUUCAAUUCAAAUAAUUCCAAAUCAUAAGAAAGAUGGAGGUUUGGCUCUUGGUAAUUUGAUGUUGUCAAAGAACAUUGCUCUGGAAAACAAAUGACAAUAGAUAUUUCCUUCGGAACCUCAUUAACUGAAAUGAUAGGAAAUUUAGUUUCACUUUUGGUCUCCAUCACUCUAUUCUUCUGCCCCAAGGCCCAACCAAAAAGAUUUGAUUUCUUGAUCCUUUUGUGGCUUAUGAUGCAAAUAUUUUUUCAAAUUUCAAACUUUCUGAAUAAAGCUAGCUUUAUCUUGAUAAACCACUUUAAAAGUUCAAAGCUCCCUCUAAAUUCAGGAAGUGAACUAUAUAGCUCAUAAUAGAAUUACUACUUAUAACUAAUGACAUGGUGCAGCAUUUUAGACCUAGUAAGGCUGUUUCUUUCAUGUGUGGUUCAAGCUCAAAAUUACCAAGUCUCCUAGCACUGAUCAGAAAGAGCAUCACAGUGAGAAUAAGAAUCCAUCUCCUGAAGAAACUCUACGUAAACAAUCAACAGGAACAUGAUUGAACACAUCAAAUUUGUGAAUUUAAAUUGUAUGGCUUGAUAAAAUGCUUGGAACCAAAGAGGAUAUUAUUUACCUGUAGUUAACAAUUAACAAGCUAUAUCCAACUGAGGCAAGAUAAGCCAAUGGCUUCGAAAAGCUUGACAAUAAUACAGAAUGUGGUCCCCCAUGAAGGACCACAAUUAGUGGAUCACAUGCAUCACUUUUCUUAGUUUUUGAUGACACAAAUAUAGCUUCAAAAGGUUGACUAGCACCUGAAAUUGAAGUUGACAUAACAAAAAAGAAAAUAAAUUCCUCAAAAGAAAUUUGAGUAUAACCUUACAUUGUGAAUAAAAUGCCUUCGACUUUUCAGAUUUAUUUAUUUUAACUCAACUCUGCAAUCAGUUUUAUAACUUUAGGGAUGAUCAAGAUCAUCUAAACCAUCAAAUGACUUCAAUAUGACACAGCAAAGAACUAUCAAUUAUAUGUUGCUACUGUUUAUCCAUGACAUUUCAGCCACACUUAACCCUUCUAGUACUAUUCAUAAAGGAAAAGACUAUAAGUUCUACUCAAGUUUCUCCAUCUUCAUUUUCAAUUGUUCCCCACUACAAUUUAGCUUUUCUAAAUUUCACAGCACCUUUAUACAGGUUCUAUUUAGAGCUUAACAUUGUCUCCAUUAUCAUCUUCAUGAACCAAUUGGAAACUUUUUCUUUACUUUUUAUAAGGGUAAGUAAGAAUGCAGAGAAGAAUGAAUAACAUUUUUCAUAUACCAUACUACACAACAUUAGAUGUCCAAUAAAAUUAUUUGGAAGGGUUUCUUCUUCCUUGAGUGUUCAAUUGGUUAUGUUGCAGAUACCAUGAACCACAUUAUACCACGAGAUGUUUACUUUAGCCAUUUGUGGUAAGAUUAAGAGCUAUAUUAAGGCAAACCCGUGCCAUUUAAUCAGCGAAAAGACUCCGAAUAAGGCAGAUACCUUUUGUUAAGCUUUCAGAAACAUCCUUGACUGGGAUCUUCAUUAUACUGGAUGUAAGAGAGGAGAUCGAGGAUCUAACCUGUAGCCAAUUUCCAAUGAUACAAUUUGAGCAUGUAACACUUUCUUAAUUAAUUUGUAGUAAUAUUUGAAAAGGAAACUUAACAAAACCUUGUCCGAGCACUUAAAUAUGGGAUUUGAGACAUCUGACCAACUCCAUUCUUCAUUAUUAGUUGUAUUUUUAACAAUAGCUCCGUACUUGAUUUGAGGAACAUCUACUGGACUGCUAGAAACUGUAUGAAGUUGAACAAUUUAGAAUAAACUAACACGUGUCAUCACUCCAAUAUUUAGGGUCAAAGAAAAAUUAAGCAUCUAAUGGUUAGUACCAGCAAGAAUAUUGUUCCCAUCCAAUGUAAGCAGACUCCAAGAGAAAUUCGAGUUAGCAGGGGUGAUCCGCAAUAUUUCUCCACUAUAUUUGAUGAAAAUGUAGAAAGUUGAUCGUCAUGAUUUGCAUAAAGAUUUACAUGAACAUAACAAAAAUGUAUCCCCACUGUCAUAGGUACCUCAACACAUUGAUGGAAAGUAAAACUUGAUUGCUGUGCCAUACAGAAGCUACAACCAAACUGUGGCCAUCGGAAAGCCAUGGAUCACUGAGGAUAUUUGAACAGUAAAGCCCUGGGAAGCUGCCAUCCUCCGCAAACAACACAACUGGAAUCUUGAAAAUUUGAAACAAAGGCCAAAAUAUUUAGCAUAAGUUUGGGAGACAAGAAGACAUUACCAUGAAGCAAUAAAAAACAAAAUGAAUAUUUCCACAUUUAUUUUGAAAAUGUUUUGGAAAAUAUAAAAAUGAGUUCACAGGUUACGUCUGGGUGUUGCCUCAGACAACUAGUAUUUGGUUUUUAAAACAUUGCUAACAGCAAGAACUCCUCAGUACGAACAGCCUCAUGAUUCAUGAUAUUGAUACUAGACAUGACGCUAGCCAUCCAUUCAUUAUCUUCUAUGGAAAUUGAAGCUAGAAUUCAGAAACGAUAACAAGGAAAACUAAGUUACUGUGCUUAACAUGCUAACCACAGAGAACCAAUUGGAAAAUUCCUGUUUUUUCAGUAAACAAAUUCUGAAAUAAAUUGUAUAGAUUUUCAACUAGAAGACAGCCUCAUUCACCCAUUAUAGAAAAAGCUUUAACAAAUUAUUUCAUGUAAAACCAUAAACACAUGGUUAAAAUUUAUAUUUUCCAAAGCUAGUUCUUAAGCAUAGGAUAGUUGAGAAGUUCAUACUCUUUAAUAAAAUGAAUAAAUAAAAGAGAAGCAACAGAAAUAAAUCUCCAUGACAUCCAUUCAGAUUAAAGUUAAACUAGACAAAAAAGGAAAAAAAAAAUUACCACUUCAUGAAUUUUAGAAGAUUGAUAAAGCUUCAUAUCCUUAGGCCAAUCAAUUCUAUGAAGUGAAUUUGUAGCAGAAUGGGCGCCAGAAUCAACUGAACUUCUUGCAGAUACAAAUACAAGAAACUUUCCAUCUGGGCUGGUAGAAAAUUUAUUCAUAGGAAUCAAGAUCAUAGAAAUCAGAUUCACACACUUAUUACUGAUAAGUUUUGCUUAAAUUUUGGAGAAAAAAAAAACACAAAUGCAUGUGACUAAAAAAGACAAGUGAUAAUGUGUAAGAUUUUAGGAGGUAACUAAACUUUCAGGAGGAAGUUUGAAAUGAUUUGGGCAGCUUUUAAUCAGCAGAAUUUCUCACACGUCUUACAAGGAGACACUGAUAAUGUAAUGUAAGUUUCAAGGAAUAUAUGCCACAAAGAUUACUUUCAUAUUCUCCAAAUAGUGGCAGUUGGCACAGAAGUCUAGGGAAAAUAAGGAGCAAAAGAUUACUUUUAUAGAAGUAAUCUUGCUAGGAAAAACAGUUAAUAAUGGAGAAUCUAAUGUAUGUUUCAAGGAAUAUAUGCCUCAAAGAUUACUUUCAUAUUCUCUAAAUACGGGCAGUUGACACACAUUAAAUUCACAUACUUGUUACUGAUAAACUCAUUGCAUAAAUUUUAAAAUAAAAGAGAAAUAUGAAUGAACUACUUCCAUAUACUAAAACAGAUAAGUGAUAACAUGUUCCAUUUUAGAAUGUAACUAAUUUUCAGGAGAAUGUUUGGAAUGAUUUUGGACAGCUUUUAAUCAGAGCAUAGUUUCUCACACAUCUUACUUGGAAAAACUGAUAAUGUAAUGAAAGUAUCAAGGAAUAUAGGCCUUAAAGAUUAAUUUCAUCAUAUUUUACAAAAUAUGUUAUUUACACACCAAAAACUGGAAAACUAAAAAUUCUACCCUUUUGUGGGGCUGGGGUGUGGGACUUUGUUUCAGCAUAUGAAAUAAAUAGAAUAAAAGCAAAAUGAUUUUGGCUAUUACCUGAACCGUGGAUAGAAAGCACUACUAAUGGUUUGAGUUAGGUUAACAGCCUGAACAUCUUCAGUUGAGCUACAUCAGUCAAUACACCUUCAAACUUUAGUUCUGCACAACCAAACUUAAUAAAAAGAUAUUCACUUUCAAACUUACUAAGUCUCAGUUUCAUUUGCUUUUGACUCAUAGUGUGGUGCUUUAACAGCAUAUAAUGCACAUGGCCUGUUAUAGCAGUACUUAAUACCAAGUUUUCUUGUCUCAAAUGACCAUCCAACAAAGACCAAAUAUUGCACAGAGCCUUCAAUUGUUGGAGCCCACACAACUUGUCCAAUACUCAAAGACUUGUCAAUUCCUUUGACGGCCUGUACCUCUCCACUGCAAAAUAACUGUUAUAGUUAGCAUUUCCUAUCUAAAAAGUUACAUCACUCAUUAUCAAUUAAACAUAAAACCAUAUAUUAUACAAAACCUAGUGAUGUCGAUGACAAAAAGGGCAGGCUGCCUCUUCCCUGCAUACGUCUCUCCCCACUCCUCCUCCCAUUCCCCUUGAGCUUUCCAGGUACCACAGUCCUUGUCUGAAGAACCACUUUUCUGGUAGCCACCCAGAUCAUUGAAUGUGGGCUUUGCAGGAGCUGGCUCUUCAGCUACAUACGCUAUACAAGUUUCAUUUAAAUUCCAAGAGAUCCCCUCAAACCUACAAUAACACAAAACAGUAAUCCAGCUCAUAAAUUUUAGGUGGUAACAGAGUUUUGUGCAGAAGUUUGAUUUGGCGUAUUUUGAAUAAAUAAUUACUCAUUUUACACGUCUUCCUUAUAAAAAAACUAAGCAAUUAUUUCUCAAGAAAUAAACUAUUCCAAACAAGGAUGUCAGUUUAAUAUUACUAUUUAGCACUACUUUCUCACUCUACUUGUCACCUAUUUCCAUUCAUAAAUUAAAAUUAGUUUCUACAUAAAUUAAAAUUAGUUUGUAAGUUAAUUGUAGAAACUUUAUGAGUAAAAGAUUUAUUCGAACAGGCAAAAGAGCAACAAUAAGUUUACCAUCCAUCAGUGUACACAGAACCGUGCUUGGAUUGAGGAACAUGAAACUCCUUUUCCAGUUGAGAGGAGCUCCAAAUUUCAAAGCGGCAAGGACCUUCACUCUCGGGAUUCCGAACAAUGAGCAGCUUGGAGGCAGAAGGCGACGGAAGCAUGGCGGAGACUCCGCUGAAUUCGAUCGGAAAGGGAGUCCAGUGAAAGGCAACGGUGGCGUCGGUUUGUCUGAGCAGGGAAGCGGAGACGAUGGACUUCUUCCUCUUGUUGGUGAGAAGGUUGGGUUGACUAACGCAGAACAUUGCCUGCGAAGGCAUGUGGAUGGUGUGGGAGUUGAAGAGCCAUGCCUUGUCGAUGGUGGGGAUGGCGGUGAAUUGGUGGAGAUGGUCGGAGUGAGAGGCGUACUCUUCUUGCUCCUUGGCUUGGUGCUCGUCGUCCAUUGGUGGAACUGGUGAAAACGAAAAGCGUCUUCUGCUGCAGAUUGAAGCAAAUAGAAUGAAUGCAUGAUGAAUGAAGGAAUGAAGGAAUGAAUGAAUGAUAACGAAAUGAAUGAUUAUUACGCAGUGAGUUGCAGUGAUGAGCGUGAACAGUGAAGAAUUGGAUUAGGAAUAGGAAUAGGAAGUUGAAUCGGGAGAAAUAAAUAAUUGGGUGAUGCUGCUACUCUUCCACACCAAUUACCCACGCUGCUCCUGCUACCAAACAUCUUGCUCUCCAUUUAUUUUUAAAAUAUCUUAUAUUUAUUAUAUAAAUUUCCUUUUAUAAAAAUACAAGAAUUUAAAAUAAUAACAAACUAUUAACUAUAUAAUACAGAUAUAUAUAGACUUAUAAUUUCUAAAAUAUAAGAAAUACAUUAAUUUAUAUAUUAUGUAACUAUAAAUUAUAUAAAUUAUAUAAAUUAAUAAUAAACAUUAAUGUAUAUAAAAUAUAUGUUUCAGAUUUUUUUAUAGAAAAUGUUUAAUAAAAUUGAAUUUUAAAAAAUUAAUGUAUUUUUUUUUAAAUUGCAUUAAAACCGUAAUAAAAUUGUCAAAAAUUUAACAAAUAUUUUUUGAAUUAGACACUUCACCAACACGAUGAAUAUUAUAGAAGUGUAGAUGACAUGUAUUCGAUAGAGAAACACCAUUUAAAUGAGGAGUGUCCAAACUUUAUAUAUAUAUAUAUAUAUAUAUAUAUAUAUAAAACAAAUAAUAUGUAUAAUAGAUAUGAGAAUUUAGCAUUGUAUUGUAUACCUUGUUCAUUAUGUUGAAAUGAUCUUGACAGGAAAAGAGUUGAGUUUGUAACAAAUUUAACAAAAUAUUUACCAAUAAAAAGCAAAUAAUAUAUAACAAACAAUCAAAAGGCAAAUAGUAUAUAAGAAAUAAUAAAUAAUUGUAUAUGAAGGUUACAUUUUGUGUUUAGGCAUAUUUACUAACUCUCUGAUGUAAUUUAUUUUUUAUAUUAGUCUCUCUCUCACACCCAGUUAUUUUUAUAGAAAGGUGAACUGAUAAAAGUUAUAGGAAAUUACAAAAUUUAUAUUAUAUACAUGAUAAGACAUGACUAACUAAUUUUACAUUGAGAAACUCAAUCGUAGUUUGAAUAUAAAAAAAAAUUGAAUUAAUUCAUUCCAUUAUAUUACAAAUUAUAUUUUAGCUUGUGAGUGUAUUAUAAAUUGAAUUGGGCUAAAAUGAUGGAUGAACUUGAUUAUGGACCAAGAAGUCACAAUUUCUUUUUCUUUCCCAAAUAUUAUGUUUUCUUUCAUUACCAAAUAGGAAGGAAAACAAGCAAAAUUAGUAAAAUAAAAUAAAAAGUUAAACAAGCAAAAAUGAGGGAUGAACUUGAUUACGAAGCAAGAAGUCACAAUUUAUUUUUCUUUUUCUUAACCAAAUAUUAAGUUUUUUUUUCAUUGCACAAAGGAUGCUAGUGAAAAAUAGGAAGGAAAACAAGCAAAAUUAGUAAAAUAAAAUGUUAAACACCACCAUUUCCAACACGUUUCGAGUAGAAGGUAACAGAUAGACUGGUCUUUCAUUUUGACAAUAUAACAAAUAGUUGGUGUCUCUUCUAAUCCUUUGAUUCUUGUGAUUCACUUGCCCCGUAUUUACAGUACUUGUUGAACCUCAGAGGAAAAGUUAGGGUGGAAGGUUGAUUCCAAAAGAAGAGAGAAAUUUCUUAUGUUUGUCACAGAAAAAGAUGGAAAUCAUAGUAUCCAUCAAGAUUAGACAAGACCUGAAGAUUCCUAGAUAGCAUAUUACCUAGUCAGUAUAUUCAUAUCUUCAGGGGAAGUAUUAAGAACCAAGAAGACGCACCCAAAGAUAAGCCAAGAACAAGUACUGAAUAACCUUUGUAUUAUUGCUACUACACUUUACAUCCACUAAAGAAACGAUUAUUGCUUUUACACAGGACUUCCCCUGUCUACAAAACUGUAUUAAAGUAAAUUGAGCCUCUAAUGGAUAGUACCAGCAAGAAUAUUGUUCCCAUUCAAUGUAAGGAGACUCCAGGAGAAAUUUGAGUUAGCAGGGGUGAUCCUCAAUAUUUCUCAACUACAUUUGAUGAAAAUGUAGAAAGUUGAUCGUCAUGAUUUUGCAUAAAGAUUUACAUGAACAUGACAAAAAUAUCCCUACUGUCAUAUCUACUCAACACAUUGAUGGAAAGUAAAACUUGAUUGCCAUGCCAAACAGUGGCCAUCGGAAAGCCAUGGAUCACUGAGCAUAUUUGAAAAGUAAAGCCCUGGGAAGCUUCCAUCCUCCGCAAACAACACAACUGGAAUCUUGAAAAUUUGAAACAAAGGCCAAAUAAAUAACGUAACAUGAAAACAAAAUCCAUUAACAGGUAAUUAAGGAUAAAUAAAUAAACCACUCACAAAUUCACACUGUGAUAACCCUUCUAAUUCAAAGAAACCGUUUUUAUAAAACGACAUGUAGUCAUUUCGCCAAAUUGUGGGACUCAUGGUCAUUUCUUUGAUCACACUCUAUAACAAACAAUAAGUAUUGUUAACACCAACUUCAUCAAAAAAACAAACAACAAUAAAUACACAGUUGACUUACCGCAAAGAAAGAAUUAAAGCAAAAGCGAUCAACCCCUCUAGUUCUAUGAUAUUCAUCAAACAUGAAAAAACCAAAUGCAAAUAACAUAACCUAAAAAUACAUUGCAAGUAUUUCAAUUUACAAACUAUAAUUCAAUACAAAUCAAAUGUUAUACAAAGAAAUGUUAACUUUUGACCUGGGACUUAAUGAAUGCAAGUCAGCCCCAGCCAAUCAAGUUUUUUAUAUCAACAACACUGCAACAGUACAAAAAAUAAAUAUUCAAAGUAAUUGACUUAAAUAAGUUAAUUAAGUAAUGAUAAGUAUCACUAGUUCACUAUAUAUUCACUUACCGAUUUAAGUGCAGUCCCUGCAAUGAACACAUUAUUGUAUAUAUCUUCAUUCCACCAAGGGGUAUGUCUUCAGCAACAAUGGCUUUGUCUUCAAUACGAGGACUAGGUUGGUCUUCAGCAGGAGGAAGUACUACUGACCAAUGAUUUACUUUGUACACUUGUUCUUGCAAAAUUCUAAUUUCCCUCUACAAAUCACAUAGCCUUUUGCUUUUGGGAAACUUCAUGUUAUUGAAGAAUUGUUUCCCAUUCACUGAAAAAAUGGUCAAUACAUUCAUGUGAAACAACACAUACGACUUCAAUAACAAUGUCCAGCCCAGUCAAAGGCUAUUCCCACGAAAUAAAAAAUUAUGAUAAACAAAUUAAGGCAAAAAUAUCAACCACAAAGUUAACAAUAUAAUCUACCUCAACUAAUAAAAAAACAUCAUGUAUCUUUCUUGACUGAAAGUUUACGCAUGACCAUUGCAAAAAUCAUGAAAAAACGAGAAUUAUUUCCCGCUUUGCCAAGUCCAACUGCCCACAACUGUUGCACAAAAACAUUAGUGAAUAAAAACCUUCUUUUUAAGACUAUGAACAUUACAUUAUAUCACCCAUUAUCGUGAAUUUUGAACAUACUUGCAAUACAGCAAGACAACCAACUAAGUAUAUCUCACACGCAUUCUUUUGUUGGUAGUAUACUUUGAAAGCCCGAGUUAUACUAGAAACAACUACAAAAAUCAUCAACAUUUUCACUCAACCUAAAUUUUUCAUCAGUCAUUUUCUUUAUAAUACUACGUACAUUAAUCUCCUCUCCAUCAAACAACUCAUUCACCAACCCCUUCUGUAUCAUCCUCUAAAUUUACAAUUUCCCUCCAACACGCAAUCUCAAUCUCAAUCCCACAAAAAUAUCCAUUAAAGGAACUAAUUUUUUCCUAAACAUAAAACUUUGCUUACUUCCAUUCUACCUACUUAAAAAUUUCUUAGAAUGGUAGUUGAUAUUUACAUUAUGUGUUUUACUUUGCAAUACACUUAAAAGGGACAUGUGGUAUACUUUCUUUUUGAAAAGAAGUCAACCUACGGUCCACUUUCACAAUGUACUCCGUUUGCAUUGUGUGUUUCACUCUAACCUAGAAAUUCAAGUCACACUAUAUUUAAUGUAUUUCAGAAAUAUAAAAUUUAUUAACAACCUUACAAUAUAAUUCAUCUUACAUUGAAGUUAUUUUCUUCACCAUCACUCUGUCUUGAACUUGAAGUCAUGUUGCAAACAAUAAGAAAACAUAACUUCAAGUUCAAUACAGAGUGAUGGUGAAGUAAAGAACUUCAAUGUAAAAUUGAUUAUAUUGUAAGGUUGUUAAUAAAUUUUUUAUCUCUGAAAUGCAUUAAACAUUAACUAUAGUGUAAUUUGAAUUUCUAGGUUAAAGUGAGACACACAAUGCAAAGGGAGUACAAUGCAAACGGAGUACAUUGUGUUCUAUUCAACGAGAAAUGAUACAACAGACUCCUUUUAAGUGGAUUGCAAAGUAAAACACAUAAUGCAAAUAUCAACUACCGUUUUAAGAGAACUUCUAAGUAGCUAGAAUGGGAGUAAGUAAAGUUUUAUGUUUAGGAAAAAAUCAAUUCCUUUAUCACUUAUGGAUAUCUGUGUGGGAUUAGGAUUGCGUGUUUGGGGGAAGUUGUAAAUUUAAAGGAUGAUACAAAAGGGUUGGUAAAUGAGUUGUUUGACAGAGAGGAGAUUAAUAUACGUAGUAUUAUGAAGAAAAUGACUGAUGAAUAACUUAGGCUAAGAGAAAAUGUUAAUGAUUUUUUUAGGUUAUACAUUUGCUUUCAUUUGUUGUUUUCUAUUUUCCUAAAGAGUUAUAAGAAUUUUUGUAUGCUUUCCUUUUAGACUUUUAGACAAUUUAGAUGCACUCCACAUGCACUAUUGGAGGUGCAGUUCAUCAGUUGUUUCCAGUAUAACUCGAACUUCCAAAAUAUAUUACCAACAAAGGAAUUUGUAUGAGUUAUACUUAGUUGGUUGUGUUGCUGUAUUGCAGGUAUGUUCAAAAUUCACGACAAUGGACGAUAUAAUGUAAUAUUCAUAGUCAUAAAACGAAGGUUUUUAUUCACUAAUGUUUUUGUGCAACAACUGUGGACAAUUGAACAUGUUGGACUUGGCAAAACGGAAAAUAAUUCUCAUUUUUCACGAUUUUUGCAAUGGUCGUGCGUAAACCUUCGGUCAAGAAAAAGAUACAUACAUGAUAUUUUAUUUUAGUUGAAGUAGAUUAUAUUGUUAACUUUGUGAUUGAUAGUUUUGCUUUAUUUUGUUUAUCAUAAUAAAUAAUUUUGUAUUUCAAAUUUUGUGGGAAUAGCCCUUACUGAAGAAGAACGAAGGUCGAACAUUGUUAUUAAAGCCGUACAUGUUUGUUCACAUGAAAAACAUGGAUGUACUGACCCUUCUUUCUUUCAGUGAAUGAGAAACAAUUCUUCAACAACAUGAAGUUUGUCAAAAGCAAAAUAUAGCCACUUACAAGAGGCUAUGUGAUCUGCAGAAGGAAAUUAGAAUUCUGCAAGAACAAGUGCACAAAGUAAAUCAUUGGUUAGUAGUACUUCCUCCCACUAAAGACCAACCGAGUCCUCGUGUUGAAGACAAAGUCAGUGCUGCUGAAGACUUUAGUUUCCUAGUACCUCAAGCCCUGGUAGGGUUUAUGGUUAAGUGUUUAGGGUUUUACGAUUUAGGGGUCUUUAUGAUUUUAAAGGUUUUAAGAGUUUAAGGUAUAUUGUUUUUAGGGUUUAUGAUUUUUAGGGAUCUAAAGAUUUAGGAUUUUAAAACUGAAGUUGAGUUUAUAAAGCAGAACGAAUAGUUAAAGCAAAUUAGAUAUGAAAGUGAUCGUCUAUUGGGGCAAGUACAUGGAUUAACUGAAAAAGUAGUAUUGCACAAAUAAUAUUGAGAGAAAAUAUUUUCACAAUUGAAUAAGUUGGCGAUUAAAACAAAAGCUCUUGAGGUUUGUUGUUUUUUUUUUUAUAUUUUUGUUCUUUUAUUUCAUUAAUAGUGCACUUCUGUGCCAAGUGAAUUUAUGUUAUUGUGGGUUUUCUUUAUCUGUCAAACGAUCUUGUAGUCCUUAUAUAAUUCUCUUAUGCUCUUCAUACAUUUUUUUUUUAUAUGUUAGAAGAAGAAGUUGAUAGAUCAACAUUCUAACAGAUCAAGAACAGUGUAUGAAGAGCAGAAGAGAAUUAUACAAGGGUUACAUGAUCGUUUGGCAGAUAAAGAAACUUCACAGUAACAUAAAUUUACUUAACACAAGAGUACACUGUUAAUGAAAUAAAAAAACAAAAAUAUAAAAAAGUCAACAAAACAACAAACCUCAAGAGUUUUUACUUUAAUCACCAACUUACCCAAUGGUGGACAUAUUUUCUCCAAAUAUUCUCUGUACAAAACAAAAGCUCUUAAGGUUUGUUGUUUUGUUUUGUUCAUUUUUUUAUAUUUUUGUUCUUUUAUUUCAUUAAUAGUGCACCUCUGGGCCAAGUGAAUUUAUGUUAUUGUGAGUUUUUUUUAUCUGUCAAACGAUGUUGUAGCCUUGUAUAAUUCUCUUAUGCUCUUCCUACAUUGUUUUUUAUCUGUUGGAAGAAGAAGUUGAUAGAUCAACAUUCUAACAGAUCAAGAACAGUGUAUGAAGAGCAGAGAAUUAUAAAAGGGCUACAUGAUCGUUUGGCAGAUAAAGAAACUCCACAAUAACAUAAAUUCACUUGACACAAGAAUACACUUAAUAAAAUAAAAUAAAAACAAAAAUAUAAAAAAGUCAACAAACCUCAAGAGUUUUUACUUUAAUCGCCAACUGGACAUAUUUUCUCCCAAUAUUCUCUGUACAAAACAAAAGCGCUUGAGGUUUGUUGUUUUGUUUUGUUAAUUUUUUUAUAUUUUUGUUCUUUUAUUUCAUUAAUAGUGAAUUUAUGUUAUUGAGUUUUUUUAUCUGCCAAACAAUCUUGUAGCUCUUGUAUAAUUCUCUUAUGCUUUUCAUACAUUCUUUUUAUCUGUUGGAAGAAGAAGUUGAUAGAUCAACAUUCUAACCGAUCAAGAACAGUGUAGGAAGAACAGAAGAAAAUUAUAAAAGGGCUACAUGAUCUUUUGGCAGAUAAAGAAAUUCCACAAUAACAUAAAUUCACUUGACACAAGUUGACACAAGAAUACACUGUUAAUAAAAUAAAUAAAAAACAAAAAUAUAAAAAAGUCAACAAACCUCAAGAGUUUUUACUUUAAUCGCCAACUUACCCAAUUGCGGACAUAUUUUCUCCCAAUAUUAUCUGUACAAUGCUACUUUUUUUCUGUUAAUUCAUGUAUUUGUCUCAAUAGACAGUCACGUUCAUCUCCUAAUUUGUUUUAACUCUUCGAUCUGUUUUAUAAGCACAACAACUUCAGUUCUAAAACCCUAAAACCCUUAAAAACUCUAAAUCUUAAACCCUAAAUCCAUAACCCUUGAACCCUAAAAUCCCUAAAAAACCCUAAACCAAAAUCCCUUAAAACCUUAAACCCUAAAAAUCCCUAAACCCUAAAAACAAUAUACCAUAAAACCCCUAAAACUUAAACCACAUGAGUUUGAUGUGUUGAACCUCGUACGCCAUGUAUGAUGGCAUAGCCUUUUAAACCCUUAAACCAAUGUAUCCUAAAAACCCUAAAACCUAAACCAUAUGAGUUUGAUGUGUUUAAUGAGUUUGAUGUGUUGAAACUCGUACGCCAUGAAUGAUGGCAUAGCCUUUUCCCACUUUAUGCAUUUCCCUUGUCAUAAUAUUAUGACUCAUGCACUAUGAUACCGAUUCCACAAUUUAAAAUGAGUUAUAACAACUCACAAGUUUGUAUGAACACAGUACAAAUAUUAACCUAAUGAAAACUUAAACUAUCAAAAACACCUUACUAACAAAGUUUUAACUUAUUAAUAGAUUAUCAUAGAUAAUGUCCUUAGUGUAUACAAAAGUACGAGAACAUCUUGUUAUAUAUCCGUUUUUGUUGAAUAAGAUAGUUAAUAGUUUUAAACUAUAACCAUAUGCAAUAUAUGUACAUGUUCUUUCAAUAUAUCUGAAUUAAGAGAGGCAUCUUCGUUCUCAACAAAAGCAUAAUAGGUGGAGUCGAGAGUUUGUCCUUGAGGUCAUAUCUUCUUGUAGUGUCUAGUAUUCCAACAAUAUAUAUCAAUUUUCUUGUACUCAACUUGUGUCAACUUUUAAUCCACAACGUUUACAGCUUGGAUAUUAGUAAAAAAAAUCAGCUUUAGACAAAUCUUCAUUAGAUAGACUCUGAGAAUUGUGAUAAACAACCUCUAGAUGGAUCAUUUGGUGGAGAAAUUAACAUUUCAUAUCCUUAAGUUCCAUUUACACUUAGUUUACCGUCGUAGAAAUACAAAAAUAAUAACAAUGUAUAUAAAGACAUACCCAAAAUAUGGUUUCCAUCCGCCUAGGAGAGAGAAAAAAAAAAGUAAAGAGAGGCCCAAGAUGUUGUUCUUAAGUGGUAUACUAAUUUAAUUUUAAAGAAACAAGUUAUAAUAUUAUAAUAUCUAUUAAUAACAAAAAAAAUAUUAUAUAUAAUAUAUAUUAAUAUUAUAAUAUAUCAUAUUCUUUUUUAUAAAUAAUAAAAAAGAAUAUUAUAACUUUUGUUUAAAGUUGAACUAGUAUAUCACAUAAAAGCACACCUUCGGUCUCUUUUACUCUUUUAUCUCUUCUAGGCCGAUGGAAACAAUGCUUCGAGUCUCCAUAUACACCGUCAUCUUUGUAUUUGAACGAUGGGAAUUGAAGUGUGAAAUGAACGUAAGGAUGUGAAAUGUCAAUCUCUCCUCCAAAUGACUCAUCCAAAAGUUGUUUAUCACAAUUCUCACAACCUCUAUCGGAAGAAGAUUUGUUUAAAGUUGUUUUUUUUUUACUAAUAUCUACCAUAUAAAUGUUGAGGAACGAAGGUUGACACAAGUUGAGGAGAAAGAUAUUGAUAUGUAUCAUCGUGUGUAUAGUUGGAUAUUAGACACUAUGAGAAGAUAUUUAUGAAUGACUUACAAGCACGGCCUCAAGGACAAACUUUCGACACCGCCUAUUAUGACUUGAUUGAUUUUGUUGAAAACGGAGGUGUUCCUCUUAAUUUAAAUCGAACUUCAUCUAAAACACAUGUAUUUAUUAGUAUCAGUGUCAGCAGUACUUGGAAACCAAAGUCUUUUGUCCCACUAGGCUCUUGAUCAAAUUUUUUUGUUAUGAAAUUUAUUGUCUCAGUAGUAUUAUGGAAAAAUACAGGGAUCUGAAUGAUAAUAAUCUUCAAUAGUUGAAUUCACCAUAACAUCACUGGGACAAUAAAUUUUAAAACAGAAAAAAUUAAAUCUAAGAGCUACUGGCGGAAGGCUUUGGUUAAAUCUUAAUUUUUGAACUCUUAAUUUGAAUAAUUAGGGUUUUAUUAGUUAAAAGUUGGAAUGGACCAAAGGCCUAAACUUAAUUUAAGUAGAUUUUGAACUCUUAAUUAGGUUUAAUAGAUGAUGCGCACAUUCAAAUUUUAUUUGAAUAAUUAGGAUUUUAGGAUUUUAUAAGUUAAAAGUUGGAAUCGGCCAAAAACCCACACUUACUUUAAGUAGGUUUUGAACUCUUAAUUAGGUUUAAUAGUUGAUGCAGCCGCAGCUCAUUCAAAUUUCAUAUGAAUAAUUAGGAUUUUAUGGUUUUAUUAGUUAAAAGUUGGAAUGGGCCAAAGGUCCAAACUUAUUAGGGCUUUUUCAAAAUUAGGUUUAGGGUGUUUUAUCCUCUCCAAGCACCGUCGAUCCCUUCUUCAUUUUCCGCAGCCACGGUUACAGCGUUCGUUGUUCGUUGUUGCUGUUACCGUCAUUUUCUACGCCUUUAAUGAUAUUUCCAAUUUCCAUUAACAAUCCGAGAUGCCAAAAGCAGCCACCAUGGGAAAACCGUGUCACCACCACCUUCCGCCAUAACAGAAAAGUGAUAACAUUGCAAUGAGCUCAAUUCAAAAAGCUCGGUAGGCAUCGCUUAAUUCAAUGCUUGAUUAUCUCUGCAUCAAUUUUAUAUGAGGCUAAGUAUACUAUUUCAAUCAAGCUUAAUAUGGUCAACUUGAUUGAUAUAUAUAAUAUUUUUUAAUUUUUAACUUAUAAUAACUACAAAAUUGUAAUAAUAAUUAAAUUUAUACAAAUGUUUCCAAUAUAUGAUCUAGUAAAAUAAAUAAAAGCAAGUGCCCAAAUGAAAUUGCAUGGUUGUAUAAGAAAUACAAGCUACCAGCACAGCUAAAAAAUUGUGCAACUAGACAGGAUUAGGUAGUGUUGAUACAAACCAUUUGGGCUUUGCUAUCUUAUAACUUCUCCAUGUUUGAUUUUAAUUGGUUGACAACACUUGUCUAUAAAAACAUGGAAACAAAAAAUUGUAACUGCUUCAUAUCCUUACAAACAACUAUCUUACCACCAAAGUAAACAUGAUGCACCAAGUUAAAUUCAAAAUAAGGUAAGUGAUGCCAGCAUAACAAAGAUCAAAGUACUAAAAUAAUUAGUAAGAAACUAACCCGCUGACUAAAUGAACUACACCAGCCUAAUUAAGUUCCUUUAUACACCCACCCACAAUUGAAAACAUUUACACUGUUACUGCAACCCACAAUCACAGGCCAAUAUGUUCAGGUACGGUACAAGUAACCCAAAAGUCACUAACUUCAAUAAAAUCAUAACAAUGACUGCCUCCUAUUACUGGGAACCUAUUAUUCUUCAUAUUAAAUUAUUAAAAUUAAAUAGCUCAAUAUGAAAUAUCAUAAUAUGCUUAAUGGAAAAACACCUUAAGUUCAGAACCACUGAAGCAUGUUUUAUUACUAUAAUAACUAAUAGAGUUCUCAAUUACCACUAGUAUAGAUUUUAAGAGAAAAAUAGAUAAGAAAGCAACGUAUAAAAAUUAAAAACAGUGGCAAAGUUGAAUAUUCCUCAAAUUAUAUACUGCAAUACAUAGGCAAACAUGUUGAUUAUAAUUAUCAGUUAUGCUUUGUUUGUUUCCAGGUGAUUACUAUUCACAGGUGAUUAAUAUUCACAGGAUGGAUUUACAGGGAUCAUUUCUGUUUGGAUCUGGCAAUAUGCAAAGAAUGCGAAGCGAGCAAAGGUGAAGAAAUUGCAGAAAGGCUUCACUUAUUGGCUAAGAAUUGCGUAGAAACCCAACAGAAACUCAAUUUCAUAUAAGCAACUUACGCAAUUACCCUCUACUCUGUCAAUGUAAUUCAAUAAUUUUAUUAAAUAAUAAAAAAUUUAUUUGAAUUAAAUAUUUAAUAAUAGCAUUAAUAAAAAUAAUUAAUAAUAAAAAAAAAAUAUAAUUGUUUACAUAGAAAAUAAAUUUACAUAAUAAUAAUAUUAAUUAUAAAAAAGAUAGAAAUAAAUAAAUUAUUUUUUUUAUUCGAAUAUUUUAAAAGAUUGGGAUAAAUUUGUAAAUUUAUAUUUUAUAUCUUUUAAAAAAUUUAAAAAAAUCACAACUAUCACAUAAGUCUAAUAAUACACCAACAAAUUUGAGUAAAUUUUUCUCAUAAAUUCACUCUAAUAUACUCAAAUUCAAACAUCACUUUCUUCACACUCUCCUUUCAAAUCAUUUCAAAUUCACUAUCUCAAAUCCUCUCUUCAAUUCAAACACACCAUUAAAGUUGAAUUUUCAGUAGCUAGUGGUUCUGGUAACCCUCAUAGUAGUUAGAAUCGCAUAGCAAAGAAGAAUGAAGAAGAGUGAGGAAGCGGAUCGCAGCAGUUUGUUAUAAAAACCAUAGGCACAGCUUUUAAAAAUCCCUCGCCUUCCUCCUAAAAAUACCCUGGAAUUUUUUGUAGUGAUUUUAAUAGGAUAUCCAAUUUUAUUUCUCAAGUUAGAUUAUAUUUUUGUUUUUUAAUAAAUACAAUUUAGGAAAACUCAAACUAAUUGUUUAAUUUUGAUUUUAUUUACAUAUUCCUCAUAUUCUAAAUUAAUUUGAGAAAAUAAUUUAUCUAUUAUAUAGUGUUGAUUCACAAGCAAAUAUAUUCAAUCCAUGUAUUUUUUUGUUUUGUUCACUUCUAUAUAUUUUUGUUUUUUUAUGUUAGUGAGGACUUUCUUUAUAAGGUUUUAAUGGUUUUAAGGAUUUAGAGCCUAAAGUUUGUAGGGUUUUACGAUUUUAAGGGUUUAAAACUGAACCUAAGCUUAUAAAGCAUAACGAAGAGUUAAAACAUAUUAGAGAUGAAUGUGACCGUCUAUUGAGAGAAGUACAUGAAUUAACUUAAAAAGUAGCAUUGAACAGAGAAUAUCGGAAGAAAAUAUGUCCAGGAUAAGUUAGCGAUUAAAACAAAAACUCUUAAGGUUUAUUGUUUUGUUUUGUUCACAUUUUUGUUCUUUUAUUUCAUUAAUAGUACACUUUUUGUGUGAUGUUAUUGUAGGGUUUCAUUAUAGAAGAUUUGUCCAAGCAGUUAUUUGAUGAAAAAGAUAAGUUAAAGGUAAUGUCGUUGGUUUUUAUUCUUGGCAUGAAACAGUUACUUACCAUAUAAUUUUCUUGUGGUAUAAUUUAUUGUUCUUGACAACUAAAUCUGAAACAAUUUUAUUUUGAGGUCUAAUUGUAAAAACAAUAAAUUGCACAAGAAAAUUAUAUGGUAAGCAGUUGUUGCAUGCCAAGAAUAAAAAUCAAUUACGUUACCUUUAACUUCUCUUUUUCAGCAAAGAACUCCUUCUGCAGUAUAUGUAUUUGAUCCUUUUGAGAUGCACACGACUUCUAUAAAGAAACUCCACAAUAACAUAAAUCCACUUGGCACAUAAAUGCAUUAUUAAUGAAAUAAAUAACAAAAAUAUAUAGAACUGGCAAUGUUUCUUUUUAAGUUAAUUCAUGUACACGCCCCAAUAGACGGUCACAUUCAUCUCUAAUUUGUUUUAACUAUUUCUUCUGCUUUAUAAGAUCAGCUUCCGUUCUAAAACCCUAAAACCACUAAACUCUAAAUCAUAAAAUCCUAAUCCCUAAAUCCUAAAUCCUAAAAUACUCAAAGACUUGUCAAUUCCUUUCACGGCCUGUACCUCUCCACUGCAAAAUAACUGUUAUAGUUAGCAUUUCCUAUCUAAAAAGUUACAUCACUCAUUAUCAAUUUAACAUAAAACCAUAUAUUAUACAAAACCUAGUGAUGUGAGGCUGCCUCUUCCCUGCAUGCGUCUCUCCCCACUCCUCCUCCCAUUCCCCUUGAGCUUUCCAAGUACCACAGUCCUUGUCUGAAGAACCACCUUUCUGGUAUCGAAAUUUUGCAUCGGAUAAUAAAUCAUUGAAGAUCGCUAACCCUUGGCGACGAAGAAACGUAAAACGAAAAGAGAGUGAAACCUUGACGCCUUGGAGGAAGGCGCGGAGGCAGAGACAGAAGCAAUGGAAGAAGAAGCAACGUCAGAGUCGAGAGUGAUGAAGAGGAAGAGAGCGAGGGCGAAGAAUUCGAGAACCAUGACGAAGAGUAAUGCGAUGAACCAGUUCUGCUGCCAGAUCGGGAAAUCGAAUUACGGGUAAAAACAAUCCGGGUCGACCCGGAAGUUUGUUGCUGAGACGAUGACGAAGAAAAAGCCUUUCUUCGAGAGAGGUUCUCCGACCCUAAGGAAGCCACGGUUCAACCCUAUCAGAAGAGAGAGGAAAAGCGCAUUCACGUCUCUGUUGCAAUGUCCCAACACGCUUUCUGAAUACUCUCUGUUGCAAUGUUCCAACACGCUUUCUAAAUGCUCUCUGCUGUAAUUACUCUACACCCUCUCACCCAAUCUAAAUUCAACACGUGGCUCUUUGCGUGACGUUGAUGCUUAUUACUGAUUCAUAUUCUCUCCGCGGAUACACUCACGUAAUGUUUGGGCCUUUUCACAUUUGGCUUGCUUUUCGCACCACCUUUCUUUUGGGUGUUCACCCCUACAAUUUUCUUUCUACAUUCAACACGUGGCUCUUUGCAUGACGUGGAUGAUUAUUACUGAUUCAUAUUCUCUCCGCGGAUACACUCUGGUAAUGUUUGGGCCUUUUAACAUUUGGGUUGCUUUUCGCACCUCCUUUCUUUUGGGUGUUCACCCCUACAAUUUUCUUUCUACAUCUCUAUAUUCUUCAAAAUAUCCAAAUUAUCCUUAACAGUUUUGAGUUAUUUAAAAAUAUGAAUGUUUCUCCAAAAAUUAUAAAAUGUGUUUCAAAGACAUUCUAGAAAGAGUAAUUUAGAAAUUAUUUUUAAAAGGGGUAAAAUAGUAUUUUCAGAAAACAUGGGGUGGAGGAAGAAAUUUGUGGGGGUGCUGUAAGAAACACCUUUUUUUUCUUA
rnacentral:lncRNA from 1 species